GAUAUGUUGGUUCAAGCCUGUAGUCGUGCCUGGUAGGUAAAUCCGCCGGGCUUAGAUGAGGGGUGAUAACGAGUCUGCUUGCAGACGAAGUGAGUGAUACCCUGCUUCCAGGAAAAGCCACUAAGCUUCAGCUACACACGACCGUACCGCAAACCGACACUGGUGCGCGAGAUGAGUAUUCUAAGGCGCUUGAGAGAACUCAGGAGAAGGAACUCGGCAAAUUGACACCGUAACUUCGGAAGAAGGUGUGCCUUUAGUAGGUGAAGUCCCUGCGGAUGGAGCCCAAUGAGGUUGCAAAAAAUCGGUGGCUGCGACUGUUUAAUAAAAACACAGCACUCUGCAAACACGAAAGUGGACGUAUAGGGUGUGACGCCUGCCCGGUGCUGGAAGAUUAAAUGAUGGGGUGCAAGCUCUUGAUUGAAGUCCCAGUAAACGGCGGCCGUAACGAUAACGGUCCUAAGGUAGCGAAAUUCCUUGUCGGGUAAGUUCCGACCUGCACGAAUGGCGUAACGAUGGCCACACUGUCUCCUCCUGAGACUCAGCGAAGUUGAAAUGUUUGUGAUGAUGCAAUCUCCCCGCGGAAAGACGGAAAGACCCCAUGAACCUUUACUGUAGCUUUGUAUUGGACUUUGAACAGAUCUGUGUAGGAUAGGUGGGAGGCUUUGAAGCAGGGUCGCUAGAUCUUGUGGAGCCAACGUUGAAAUACCACCCUGGUGUGUUUGAGGUUCUAACCUAGGUCCAUUAUCUGGAUCGGGGACAGUGCAUGGUAGGCAGUUUGACUGGGGCGGUCUCCUCCCAAAGUGUAACGGAGGAGUUCGAAGGUACGCUAGGUACGGUCGGACAUCGCGCUAAUAGUGCAAUGGCAUAAGCGUGCUUAACUGCGAGACUGACAAGUCGAGCAGAUGCGAAAGCAGGACAUAGUGAUCCGGUGGUUCUGUAUGGAAGGGCCAUCGCUCAACGGAUAAAAGGUACUCUGGGGAUAACAGGCUGAUACCGCCCAAGAGUUCAUAUCGACGGCGGUGUUUGGCACCUCGAUGUCGGCUCAUCUCAUCCUGGGGCUGUAGCCGGUCCCAAGGGUAUGGCUGUUCGCCAUUUAAAGAGGUACGUGAGCUGGGUUUAAAACGUCGUGAGACAGUUUGGUCCCUAUCUUCCGUGGGCGCUGCAGAUUUGAGGAAGCCUGCUCCUAGUACGAGAGGACCGGAGUGGACGCACCUCUGGUGUAUCGGUUGUCACGCCAGUGGCAUUGCCGAGUAGCUAAGUGUGGAAGAGAUAACCGCUGAAAGCAUCUAAGCGGGAAACUCGUUUCAAGAUGAGAUCUGCCGGGGCCUUGAGCCCCCUAAAGAGUCGUUCAAGACCAGGGCGUUGAUAGGUCAGGUGUGGAAGCGCAGUAAUGCGUUAAGCUAACUGAUACUAAUUGCUCGUGUGGCUUGACC
rnacentral:rRNA from 1 species